rnacentral:lncRNA from 1 species
CUUCUUUUACACCACCAGGAAGAAUUUUCUCCGAUGAAGUCUGCAAUGGGAACUUCUCUUGCACACCAGGCGUUGCUUGUGUGGCUGUGUUAAAGAUGGCUUUUCGGCGACAAGAUCGAGCUAGGGAUCGUGUACAAAACUUCGCACCGACAAGAUGCGAAGAUCGCGAUCUCCUCUGUGUUGCUGUUCGAUGCAGUGACACAUAUGGCGCGCUGAAAGGGUGUGUCAGAAUCUGAUGAUCACAAGUGUGAAAGCAGGGCAGGCCUGUCAUUUAAUUCAAUUCAGACUGAUUUGACUAAAUCAGUACGAUUAUAACAUACUGUGCAGUAUUGCUAGCACUUU